UUUUAUGGAGAGUUUGAUCCUGGCUCAGGAUGAACGCUGGCGGCGUGCCUAAUACAUGCAAGUCGAGCGAACGGACGAGAAGCUUGCUUCUCUGAUGUUAGCGGCGGACGGGUGAGUAACACGUGGAUAACCUACCUAUAAGACUGGGAUAACUUCGGGAAACCGGAGCUAAUACCGGAUAAUAUUUUGAACCGCAUGGUUCAAAAGUGAAAGACGGUCUUGCUGUCACUUAUAGAUGGAUCCGCGCUGCAUUAGCUAGUUGGUAAGGUAACGGCUUACCAAGGCAACGAUGCAUAGCCGACCUGAGAGGGUGAUCGGCCACACUGGAACUGAGACACGGUCCAGACUCCUACGGGAGGCAGCAGUAGGGAAUCUUCCGCAAUGGGCGAAAGCCUGACGGAGCAACGCCGCGUGAGUGAUGAAGGUCUUCGGAUCGUAAAACUCUGUUAUUAGGGAAGAACAUAUGUGUAAGUAACUGUGCACAUCUUGACGG
rnacentral:rRNA from 1 species